AACGCUGAAGGAGGAGCUUGCUUCUCUGGAUGAGUUGCGAACGGGUGAGUAACGCGUAGGUAACCUGCCUGGUAGCGGGGGAUAACUAUUGGAAACGAUAGCUAAUACCGCAUAACAGUAGAUGUUGCAUGACAUUUGCUUAAAAGGUGCAAUUGCAUCACUACCAGAUGGACCUGCGUUGUAUUAGCUAGUUGGUGGGGUAACGGCUCACCAAGGCGACGAUACAUAGCCGACCUGAGAGGGUGAUCGGCCACACUGGGACUGAGACACGGCCCAGACUCCUACGGGAGGCAGCAGUAGGGAAUCUUCGGCAAUGGACGGAAGUCUGACCGAGCAACGCCGCGUGAGUGAAGAAGGUUUUCGGAUCGUAAAGCUCUGUUGUAAGAGAAGAACGAGUGUGAGAGUGGAAAGUUCACACUGUGACGGUAUCUUACCAGAAAGGGACGGCUAACUACGUGCCAGCAGCCGCGGUAAUACGUAGGUCCCGAGCGUUGUCCGGAUUUAUUGGGCGUAAAGCGAGCGCAGGCGGUUAGAUAAGUCUGAAGUUAAAGGCUGUGGCUUAACCAUAGUACGCUUUGGAAACUGUUUAACUU
rnacentral:rRNA from 1 species